UACGUAGGGUGCAAGCGUUGCCCGGAUUUAUUGGGCGUAAAGGGCACGUAGGCGGCUCGGCACGUCCGUUGUGAAAUCGCCCGGCUCAACUGGGCGGGGUCAGCGGAUACGGCCGAGCUUGAGCAAGCUAGGGGGCAAUGGAAUUCCCGGUGUAGUGGUGGAAUGCGUAGAUAUCUGGAGGAACACCGGUGGCGAAGGCGGCAUCCUGGACCGGUACUGACGCUGAGGCGCGAAAGCGUGGGGAGCAAACAGG
rnacentral:rRNA from 1 species